rnacentral:rRNA from 1 species
AGUGAACGCUGGUGGUAGGCCUAACACAUGCAUGUCGAACGGCAGCACAGGAGAGCUUGCUCUCUGGGUGGCGAGUGGCGGACGGGUGAGGAAUACAUCGGAAUCUACUCUGUCGUGGGGGAUAACGUAGGGAAACUUACGCUAAUACCGCAUACGACCUACGGGUGAAAGCAGGGGACCUUCGGGCCUUGCGCGAUUGAAUGAGCCGAUGUCGGAUUAGCUAGCUGGCGGGGUAAAGGCCCACCAAGGCGACGAUCCGUAGCUGGUCUGAGAGGAUGAUCAGCCACACUGGAACUGAGACACGGUCCAGACUCCUACGGGAGGCAGCAGUGGGGAAUAUUGGACAAUGGGCGCAAGCCUGAUCCAGCCAUACCGCGUGGGUGAAGAAGGCCUUCGGGUUGUAAAGCCCUUUUGUUGGGAAAGAAAUCCAGCUGGCUAAUACCCGGUUGGGAUGACGGUACCCAAAGAAUAAGCACCGGCUAACUUCGUGCCAGCAGCCGCCGUAA